CAGAGCAGUAUCGUCAACUAAAACUUAAAGAACUUGGCGGUUUUCUAGAUCUCCUUGGAGGAGCUUGUCAUCGAAUUGAUAACCCACAAGACACCUCACCAACUCAAGACUUAUCAGCUUGUAUACCAUCGUCGUCAGCUCACAUCAAAAGAGAGUAAGCCAAAUGGAAAAUACCCACAACGUCAGAUCAAGGUGCAGCUAAUGAGCUGGGGAUAGAUGAGCUACUUUAUUCACAAAACAGAGGAAGUAACCA
rnacentral:rRNA from 1 species